AUCCGCGUGGCUCUCAUGCUUUUCUUCUCAUUCUUGGCCUGUUCUUGGUUUUGGGAACACCGCUUCAAUUCCUCAUUCUUCUUCUUAGCUUUCUCUGGCCGGUGGCGGUCAGCAAUUUUCUCUCAUUCUCGGUCAGCAACUUUCUGCUCACAAUUUUGGCAGUCACCGAUUCCUAGCGGUCAGUGGGCGGUGGGGGACGAUUUUGCUAGCCAGAAAUUUCUGCUCACAAUAUUGGCACUCACCGAUUCUUAGCGUAUAUUCUCGAAAAGUUGAAACUUGUUGAAGAAAGGCAAAUGGAAGGAAGGGACUCACUUUGUUAUCUUUGAACAGGUUUAUAUCAAUCAGUUUGCAUUACAAUUGUCAAAGGAAUUUAGCUUCUUAGAUUCCAGUUGGGAAGAAAGACUUUGGAUAGUGGACGUCGAUUUUAGUGCUGAACCACUAUAAAUCUUCUUUUUAAUUUUACUGCAUUUUGUUUACAGUUUGUUUCUAUUAACUUAUCUUCUUUUAGCUUUAUAAUUGUUUGGUUGAGUUGGGACAGGUUAAUCUGUCCGAAGAAUUACUAUCAUUUCCCAUAUCAAUCUAUUUCCCAUUAGGUUGGCCUAUGUGGGAGAACAAUACACACACA